rnacentral:rRNA from 1 species
UACGUAGGGUGCAAGCGUUGUUCGGAAUUACUGGGCGUAAAGGGCGCGUAGGCGGUCCCGUCAGUCCCUUGUGAAAUCCCCCGGCUCAACUGGGGAACUGCAAGGGAUACAGCGGGGCUUGAGUUCGGGAGAGGGAAGCGGAAUUCCGGGUGUAGCGGUGAAAUGCGUAGAUAUCCGGAGGAACACCGGUGGCGAAGGCGGCUUCCUGGACCGAUACUGACGCUGAGGCGCGAAAGCUAGGGGAGCAAACGGG